ensembl:lncRNA
UAUAAUUUAAAAGCAUGACGAUUUAUACUUAUUAAAAACUAAAAUCUGAAUUAUGGUGCAUGAGACAUUAUUGGUUAUUCAAUAUUUUUAACAAUGCUAAUAAAAUACUACUACUACUGCUACUAUUAAUUUAUCACUGGCAAAUAAAAUAUAAUAAUUCAAUAUUGCCUGAAGACAGAUAUUAUUCUGUUUAGCCUGCUGCAAAAUCAUAUAUGCAAGUGAUUCACUCACAUUAUAGAGGUUUGAAAAUGUUUAUAAUAAUAAUGCAUUGAGGUAAAUCUUCAGUGAGGCAACCAAACCAGCCCAGGACAAUUUAUACUGGACAAUUUAUAUUUGCACUACUUUGGUUACAGUUUGAGGGGUUUCUCUGUCCCAGUCUCUGUUUUGGACCCCUCUGGUCCUAUAUGGGCUGAGCUCCAAGAAGGACUGUGUGAAGCUAAUGGAGUCCAAGUCCAGGUCCUCCCUCUCCAUCCAUCCCAGAGAAAGCCUAAUCCCGUUAGCUGUGCUUUCUCAUGGAUAAUCCCUCCACUUCCCACCUGGCCGUCCUUCAGCCUCAGCCUCUCUCUGGGAUGACCGUCUUCUGCUGAACACUACAGCAUGUUUAGCUGGGUGAUAAAGGUUGUUCCCCAGCCUCCAGCAUUUCCUGGGAAGCUGGCAGGGGAGGACCAGACCAAUGCUUCCACUGCAGCACCUGCAACUGAUGUGACGAAAAAAGAGGAAGCAAAACAAGGUAACAAA